ACAUUUGGAUACCACAAAUACACACGCAUACCAACAAACACAAAAAAUGCUCUCUUUUGACAACACAGAUAAACUGACAUAACUGCUUCGAUCGCUCAAUGUCGUAAAAUUGAACGAUUUUCAUGUGUGUGCGCAAACAUACAUAUACACAGGCAGAGAGAUAGAGAGAAGUAUUGCCUGAUGUGUUGAAUAUUCUGCGUUCUAUUACUCGUACCAACUUCGGAAUGUAUUGAUAAAUAUUCCUUUGUUUUGACACAACCAUAUUCAACACAUCUCUGGUGUUUUUAUUCGCAGAAGAUAUUUAUUGAAUGAAAAAUAAAGCUUAAAAAGAUCAAUAUGAGUGAAGCAAAUUUGUACGAAGAAUAUUUGAAAUAUCAACAAUUGAAGAAGGAGAAAAACCCACAUGUAAUUGGAACUGAUGAUUGGAUUAAUUGGCAAAGAAAGUGGUUUCAAUUGGCCAAUGAGAAUUGCACGAAGGCGCACGCCAUAGUGAAGAAGCGGCAGGUGAUCCAGUCAACCCGGCUGCUAUUGAAAUUGCGUUAAAACCAUCGAGAGAAUAUAUGGCUGCAGAACGUGAAAAAUAUGAACAGAUGAAAAAGUUGAUGCAGUACACUAAGUACGAUCAGACUGUGUGCAAUGGCAAUGAAGUCGAAAAAGGAACCAAGCGUCCAGUUGAAAUGGAAGUACCAGCUGAAAACGAUAACAUCCAUAAUAAAUAAUACAAGUGCAUAAAUUGGAUUUAUUUAAAUCAUGAUUUGAUUGAAUCAUUCGACCUGAUUUCAGGCUCUCCAAUCUUCAUAUGCGCUGUCCAAUCUACCAAUUAGUAAUUUGAUAGAAAAUAAUGAAAUUUUCAACAUCAAAUAAGUACAUGCCAUGAAACACUUACCCAAUUUUCGUAACAGCCAACCAAUAGAGUUCGGAGAGCUCCAAGAGUUUUUCCAUUUCUACAGCAUACAACGAACGAAAAAAAUUGCGCCAAUCUUCAUUGCCCGUUCCUGAGUCCAAGUCGUUUUUAAUGACAGUAAUAAAGUGGCGAACAUCAUUUUCCAUUCUGUCAAUUGUAUCAAUCAAAAAACGUUGGUCUGGUUUCCAAAAACAUCCACCACAUUUUUUGAUUCCGCUGUGCCUAGGUGGUCUAUUAAACAUUCAAGAUGCAAAAUAUUCCGACAAUUUGGACACUGAAAAGGGUGAUUAGCUGCUAGCUAAGAAUCGGCUUGACCCCGACACGGGCAAAAAAUGUACGGCAUUAGUAGAGCCAUCGAACUUGAACAAAUUUUAUUGCUUUAUUGAUAUCGUUUAUGCGUUUUUUCUUCAAGAGAUCACACCGUUUUACUGUUUGACAGUUGAACAUCAUUAUGUUCGACUCUGAGCUCAGUUUUUGUAAUUCAAAAACCUUAUAAAUGCAGUUUUUUCAAAACCUUUCAAACAAAGCAGAAUUUAAAAAAAUUUACCAGUAAAUUUUUUUGAUUUGAAAACUAAAACGAAAAUUAAACUUUUAAAAUUUAAAAACUAAUAGAAUAAGACUACAUUUUUCGUUCCAAAUUACCCUAUUUUAGUGUUAGUAUCUAA